rnacentral:tRNA from 1 species
AAAUAAGUAAGCUAAACUAAUAAAGCUUUUAGGUUCAUACCCUAACUAUAGAUCUAUAUCUCUUAUUUA